rnacentral:rRNA from 1 species
AUUGAACGCUGGCGGAAGGCCUAACACAUGCAAGUCGAACGAGUGGCGGAAGGGUGAGUAAUGUCAGGGAAACUGCAUGAUGGAGGGGGAUAAAUAGUGGAAAAGGUAGCUAAUCCCGCAUACCAUCAGAUGUGCCAACAUGGGAUUAGUUAGUAGGUGGGGGACCGGCUCACCAAGGCGACGAUCCCUAGCUGGUCUGAGAGGGUGACCAGCCACACGUGAACUGCUACACGGUCCAGACUCUUACGCGAGGCAGCAGUGGGGAAUAUUGCACAAUGGGCGCAAGCUGGAUGCAGCCAUGCCGCGUGUAUGAAGAAGGCCUUCGGGUUGUAAAGUACUUUCAGCGGGGAGGCGUUACCCGCAGAAGAAGCACCGGCUAACGCCGUGCCAGCAGUCGCGGUAAUUC